UAUGCCAAUAAACCACUCUUCCCGAGGAAAGCUGUGCUGAGGGAUGCCCCACACUGUUACCAUCACCCAGGCUAGACCCAGCAGGGCCCCUUUGAGCUCCAAGCUCAAAGCCACACACUGCCACAAGUCCUUUGUGACCAGGGGGGUGACAGGGCCUGGGGUGGUGAAGCCUGCCAGGUCUGGGUGCACCCAGGAGAUAGGCACACUAAGAGCAAAGAGCACUCGGGUGCAACCUGGCUGCUCAGCAGAGGGUCUGGAGUGCAGCAUUUUUCCAGGGCUCCAGGCACACGGGGCAGGAGCAGGCAAGAGCUGGAAGCAGGCUGGUUGUGUAACAGAAAAAUCUUUUAUUGAGUUCAGGAGGCCGAGAACUUCCUCAGCGUGAUGAUGACCAACGCCACAAGCACAGACGUCCCCAGGAGGGAAGCGAUGACGAUGGCACCGAUAGCUCCGGGCCCCAGUGAGCCUGCAGGGACAGAAAACGAGCACAGGUUAGUUACAACUGAGACCAGGAAAAGGGAAGAAAAUCUCAGAGUUUCUGUAAAGAAAUCCACCAUAAGUUUUCCGAGGAUGCAGGAACUCAGAGGGACUCCAGCCACGUGGGCUGUAGAGAGAUCCAGAGAGGAUGACACCAAGGGCAACCUGACAAAACUGCUGUUUCCAUGCUCAGAGAGAAGAAGGUGAGGUGAGCUGCCAGCACAGUGACAUGGUGGCCAGUGCCCCAGGUACUCAGUGACAAAGGUAAGGCUGGAAGAGUCUCCACAAGUGACAGGUCUUGGGGAAGCUGUGAUGGAGCCAGACCCUCCCAGACAGGCAGACUGCAAGACCUCAGGGCUGGCAGAUGUGGCCACUUCACAUCUUCAUCCCGAGAUCACUCACCAGUGACCAAUACUCUUCCUCACACGAGCUGAUUUCAGCACCUUGUCAUCCUCACUCCCCACUUCCAACCUUAGCCAGGAGUCAGUAACAGCAUCAGUAGUUUAUAAGGAGCAUUGGUACAGAGCAAGGCUGAGUAACAGCCGACAAAGCCCUGCUGUAAGUCUGAACCACAUCUUCUCCAGAAAUUUCCCUGACAAAACCUAUUUACUGCUUCUCAUGUUCUAGUACUUGAGCUUUAAAAACUUCCUAAUAAUUUUUUAGUCUCCUAUAGUUGAGAAUGAGGACACACGAGCUGCUACGAGAUGUCCCCGGUCAAGGUGGUGUCCUGUGUAUUUUCCUCCAGCACAUCUGCCCUGCUGCUUUUCCCCUCAAACUCCUUCUGAUGUGCCACCACAGCACAACAUAAUUCCACACUAGCUCAAACCAAAGAAACUCAGGAGCCCUUAGGUGAAUUUAGAUAGCAAAUAUGCGCACGAUUCAGAAGCCCACACCUUGCAAAGGCUUUUUACUCCCUUCCACUUCACUCGGAGCUCUGAAUCUAUCACAGGAAUUGAACGUGGGUUUGCUGAUGGAGUUGCUGGCACAGCUGCAGCCUGCCCAGGGCAGCCCCUGCCCCGGCCCCGGGGAGGGCUCUGCUGUGCACUCCGAGGUGCUGGGAGGGGAGGGCAGGGCUGGUGAACUCUGAGGACAGCACCGGGCUGUCCAGCCCCAGGUGACCACGGUGGCACAGGGCCAGGGCAGGAUGAAAAGAGGCCUUCACCGGGAGCACAAAGGGCAUCUGUGCCGGGUGAGUGCCACAACACGGAGCGCUGCGGUCCUGAGGAACGGGGAGCAAACUUGUUUACAGAGAGGCAGGGCCACGUGUGGAUGUGCUCAGACCAGAGGGCUGUCUGUGCCCUUCCCUUCUUUGUCUGCACCAGGCAGGAAAUUUCCUUUUCUAAUGGACUAAAAGGCAGAAAAAAAUUCCACUGUGUGCUAAAAGCUCCUGUACUGGGGCAGGAACUCUCGAUGCCUAAUGCAGCAGAGAGUCAUUCUGCUCCUGGGAUGGCUUCCCAUACAAGCUGGUUCCCUCAUAUCCUCUUUGAGGGAGCAGGGAACAACCUGAUAGAGGCCUUAAGCAGAGAAAGCAUGAGGUCUGUCCUGCACACCAGGAUCUGAACGUUGCAUUCACCAGCACAAAGCCCUUCAAGAGCACUGGCCUUGCUGCACGAGCACAGCUCAGCCAGUAAAGGAAUCAAGUAAACCUGGGAGUAUCUCACAGGAGCAAAGUGACACAGGGAGGCAGUGACAGGGCAAUGCCAGAGCAGGCCCACAGGAAAGCUGGCAAGGAGGGAGGCAGAGCAAAUAUGCACCAAAUACUGGAAAUUUAAACACCAUAGAAGAAAUCCCAGCUCAGAGAGGAAACAGACUGAAUUCUCACUGGAAAUGAAUCACUUCCUGCAGAGUGAAAUACUGUUAAUGAUGAAGAAAUAUCUUACCUGGUGCAGGGCAAGAGCAUGGUCACUGCUCCUGGGAGCAAGAGCAAGGCACAAAUUGAAACUGUGCUGAAGUGAUUAAUGUUCCACUGUACAAAAAAGGUUGAGGGUUUGAGAAGAAAAGUAUGAGCUUUUUAGUGCUCAUUUCUUAUUUACUUUAAAAGUUUCCCAGCAGGAAGGUGUCCUCCACAGGGAGGAUACCAGCUGCAGGAAUUCUGUUCCUGUACCCACAGCUGUUCCAGCCAGGCACAGCACUGAAUUCUCCUACCCCUAUGAAAGCCCCUUUAGAAAGAAGUGAUUUCAUAAUUUCAUCUGCUAAACAGCUGGCCAGGAUCUCCCUGCUAGGCAAGAUGCUCAGAACAAACUGGGAGGGAACAGCAAACCAGCCUUGCUCCAGGUCUAGGGAGGAAGGACAGGAAUUCAGGAAAACAAAUGCUGUGCUCCUGCCUGUUAUCCUGGCCCCAGCCAUCCCUUCAGCCUCACCUCCACUGAAAGAAAGGCUCUGAGGGAAGCGGUUCCCCACAGGAGUUUCCACCUCUACGCUCAGAGCCCAUCAACACAGCGGGUUUGGAAGCCCAGUUUUCCCUCCCCUGUAAAACCCACCUGAGCCCUGCAGCCUGGAGGCUGCCUGUGCUCCCUGCAGCCAGCACAGGGUGCCAAGGGCAGGGCAGGUAGGGCUGAAAUUACUGAUGAUUCCCUCAAAAACGGUGCCUUACAGAACAGGCACCUCACCUGUUCUGAUUCCCAUCCCCUCACUGAACAUGGGGCAGAGUUUUCCCAGUGCUGCCUCGGGACCCCCAGCUCUGCACAGACCCCCUGAGGAUGCAGAGUUUGGCUUUGGAUGGAGGUUUUCGUGGACACUUCCCUAUUUCUGCCAGCAGCAGCUGUUGGGGAGUUCCCUGCUGUAGCAGAGUAAAGAAGGAACCAGGAAUUGCCCCACAUGCUUUAGCCCCAAAAAUCAUUUCUUUUCACAACUGUAACUUCUUCCUGCCAUUAAAAGCUGAUGCACAGCCUGUCCCCUCAGCUGCUGGGAGGUUUUCCAUCUCCUGUGGCUGAUGUGACCACUGAUCUCCAGCCACCUACGCUCACAUACGUGCUACUGCUGUUCUGCUUAGGAAAAGUUACAAACAAUUUUCUCCAUUUUCCCCCAACAGAAACAUAGGUUUGGGAUGGAAAAUAUAAUCUUACUCACCACCAGUCACCAAUUCCAAAGAUGGUUUCCAUUAAUCAGUUAUAAUUCAACACAUAGAUGUUUUCAGAGAAGUGACAGGAGAGAGAGGCAGUAUAAUAAAGGAUCUUCCACACUUUUGGGCUUUACAUGCAAACAAAGCUCCUUACCUGCCAGCACAGCAGGGACCAGGAUGCCACACAGUGUUAGCAGGACCAGGCAAAGGGCUCUGUGGCAGGGCAUGGCUUCCCUCAGGAACAGCGUCGGCAGGAAUCCUUAAAACUCUUUCAAAGUAUGGAACAACGUGGAAAUGUCACUGCUAUAAUAAAAAUCUUGUCCAGAAAGGUAAAAAAAAAAUAAUUCCCUUCACAACAGCAAGUGUGUAGAGAGAGUGCAAAGCCCAGCAGAGCCUCCCUCGCUCUGGCUCCAGGAGUACAGCUCCUCCCGAAGGCAGCUCCACCCUCCCAAACUUGUGCAGAAAAGCCCAGAGCAGCCCAGCCUCGGGCAGCUCACCCUGCCAGGCCAGUGCACACAGAGCAGUUGUUGGUGAGCCCUUCCCAGAGGCCGCAGGGAUGCUCCUGGAAUGCCUUCCCUCGGCAGGGGAAUAACACAGGAGCCAUUGGGGCAGCUCGCCCCAAACCCCGCAGCCCCGGGCUCUGAGGGCUCUGCCCUCGCUGUGCAGGGCCUGCAGGUACUUCAGGGUGGGCACAGCAAAGAACAAGGGCCUCAAUCAGAGCUCAAACGCUCUGACAGAGCCAGAGCAGCCCCGUGGCACCAAUUUCUGGGUGGAAUACUUACAGAGCUGGACUGGGAGCCGUGGGUGGUCUUCGCUGCCCAGUAAACGCUGGGAAGUCUUGCAGGAGAGUCGGCUCUGGAGGGCAGGGCCAGCAUCCUCCUGGGAUCCCAAGGGCACAGACACCACUCCUGCCAGCUCUGCCAUCGGCCCUGCCCGCCUGGGGGCUCGUGGGAAGGUCACAGCACAGAAAACAGGCUUGUUUCAAAUCACAUUUGCACCAACAGAGACUGGGGGAAGGAUGAAGUGUAUAAAAAGGGGAACACCCCAGCUGACUGUCACAGAAUAAUUUCAUUAGGAUUUUUUAAACUGUUGGGAAUUAAAUACUUCAUGUUUUCAAGUAAUGAAGUACACAAACACUCCCAAUGUCAGUACUUUAUGCUCUGAAAAUUUGACACAAGUAUUUUUGGGUUAAAUUUCAGAUACAGAUUUUUCUGCUAAGAGAUCUCUCUGCUUUUUUGCUUUCUCUGACAGGCAGCCAGACACAGUUUAGGUGUCCCUUUAAAUCACUGCUUGCUGCACGCCUUUGCAAGAAGUGCCUGGCUGAGAGGGGAAGCAGCAAAACCAGAGAGAACAGAGUCCUGUCCCUGCAGUGAAACAAGGAGUGAGGCAGCUACCUGGGGAAUCAUGCUCAGAAGAGACCUGAGACACCUCCAGCAUCGAAUUCAACAUCAUCUGUCAAACCUGGAGCAAAGCCCCAGCAGGUUCUGUCUGCAAAGGUGCUCAAAGCACGGAAACGCAUCCAGCAGCAGGUAAAAUGCUACAGCUCCUAUUUUUCCCAUUCCUACUGAUCCAAACAACUCCUGCUACAGAAACAGACCCUGUGUUUGUCACAGGAGGUGACAAGGCAGUCACCUGAGCACACAAUCUGCACAUGCCAGCACCUCCCCUUUGUACCAAACACAGAAACCAGCACAUUUCAGUACCAAGAACAAGAUCUUCCCCACUGGUCCAUUAUUGACAAACGCUGAGAGGCUGAGUGAGACCCUCAGGGUCUAUUGCACAUUUCCCCUGCUUGCAUUUCUGCAUUUUCAUGUAGUAAUCAAGAAGCUGCUCCUUCCCUGCCCCCCAUCUGAGCUGGAAAUUAAUGGGCUUUUGUGUAUUUGUUACAUGGUAGAGAGCAGUCCAAAACUGGAUUGUAGAAAUUAGAUCAUACCAUUAAAAAACAUUAUUAACCAGACACCUCAUAUGCUAAAAAAAAAAGAGAAGAUAUUAAAACAAAGUCAGGUUAUCAGCCUAAACACGUCCUGUUUGCUCUGAGACAUCAGCUAAACAUCAUGCAAGGCACUGUGUAAUUUGGGCCUUAGCACACUUACUUUCUGUGGUCAUGUGAACGGCAGGAGAACAUUCAUCAUUACCUUUUACUGGGAUUUUCCACACAAAAAUAAGCAGCAAGUAGAAAAAAAAAAAAA